ensembl:lncRNA
GUUUAUUGUGAUUCGGAUAUUUGUUUUGUAAAAACAUGACGCAACAUUUGCUGUACAGAAUAAUGAGUUCACAGUUUGAUACAGAAUGAUCAGAAGACGCACACUCCCGUUUGAAUUGACAACCCCACAUACAAUACAAAGAUAGAGUUGAAUACAGAUUCACAACCUUAUAUAUAUAUAUAUAUAUAUAUAAAAAAAAAAUGUUUUUUUAUAUAAUUCAUUGAUAAAAAAAAAAAAUUAAAAAUGUUUUAAAAAAAAAUUAUUUAUCAUCAUGCUUUAUAAAAUGCCUUUAAUUGCCCAUUUCAGUCUAAUAAUCAUUUAUAAAAUAUAUUACAACAAUUCAUCAUCAUAUUACAUCUGCAUAGUUAAAAAACCAACGCAAACCAAACGUGUGUGUGUGUGUAUAUAUAAUCCUGCUAUUAAAUGGAAAAAGCCAGAUUACAUUAAUCCCAAAACAGUGAUAUUGGGUCAGUCUGAUGUUUCCCUCUCCUCGGGGUUAAAGGUUAAGGACUGUGAGAUGCUAAAACUGACCCCAGAUCUGUGACUGUUUCCCUCUCCUCAGGGUUAAUGGUUAAGGACUGUGGGAUGAACUGUGACUUGUAACUUGAACUGAGUUUAAUAAUGUUUCAAUCAAUACAUCAUCGCAUCAUUCAACCAACCAACAAAUGAUUGAUUGAAUAAUGAAUGGAUUUGAAUGAGAAUGUGCUGAUUGUCUGGUUCUGUGAAUGGUUUUAAAGUGCUCUCUAGUUUUCUUUACUCUGCAGGCUCACUAGUCUCCUCUGGGCUCCUCUAGCCUCCUCUAGCCCCCUCUGGCCCCUAGCCCCCUCUAGCCUCCUCUAGCCCCUAGCCCCCUCUGGG